UAUGGCCAUAUCACGUUGAAACACCGAUUCUCAUAUGAUCACCUAAGUUAAGCAACAUCUAGCUUGGUUAGUACCUAGAUGGGUGACCACUUGGCAAUACCAAGU